rnacentral:misc_RNA from 1 species
CCGAGUUUACAACUCCCAAACCCCUGUGAACAUACCUAUCGUUGCUUCGGCGGGAUGCCCCAGUUUGACGCAAGCUGGACCCAGGCGCCCGCCGGAGGACCCAAACUCUUGUUUUAUUUAUGUAUCUUCUGAGUAAACCAGCAAAUAAAUCUA